rnacentral:rRNA from 1 species
UGCCGCCUACGGGACGCAGCAGUAGGGAAUAUUGCUCAAUGGGGGAAACCCUGGAACAGCAACGCCGCGUGGAGGAUGAAGGUUUUCGGAUUGUAAACUCCUUUUGUUAGAGAAGAUAAUGACGGUAUCUAACGAAUAAGCACCGGCUAACUCCGUGCCAGCAGCCGCGGUAAUACGGAGGGUGCAAGCGUUACUCGGAAUCACUGGGCGUAAAGCGCGCGUAGGCGGGAUAGCAAGUCAGAUGUGAAAUCCUAUGUCUUAACCAUAGACAUGCAUUUGAAACUGUGAUACUAGAGUAUGGGAGG